UAUUUUGAGAAAGUACAUGAUACGCAUCAAAGGAAAGAAAUAAUUGGUGGUUUAAUUAGUUGAGGGUCUAAAAGGAAUGAAUCAUAUGUAAUUAGAGG